rnacentral:rRNA from 1 species
UAGUCAUAUGCUUGUUUCAAAGAUUAAACCAUGCAUGUUUAAGUAUAAAAUGCUUAUACUGUGAAAAUGCGAAUGGCUCCUUAAAUCAGUUAUAGUUUAUUUGAUGGUACCUACUACUUGGAUAACCGUAGUAAUUUUAGAGGUAAUACGUGCGUAAAUCCCGAAUUUUGGAAGGGACGUAUUUAUUAGAUUUAAGGCCCACCGAGCUUUUGCUUGUCUUUUGGUGAAUCAUGAUAAAUUCCCGAAUUGCAUGGCCUUUGCGCCGGCGAUAUUUCAUUCAAAUUUUUUCCCUAUCAAUUGGCGAUGGUAGGAUAGAGGCCUACCAUUGUGUUAACGGGUGACGGAGGAUUUGGGUUUGAUUCCGGAGAGGGAGCCUGAGAAACGGCUACCACAUCCAAGGAAGGCAGCAGGCGGGCAAAUUUCCCAAUCCUGAUACAGGGAGGUAGUGACCAUAAAUAACAAUACCGGGCUUUUCAAGUUUGGUAAUUGGAAAGAGGUCAAUUUUAAUCCCUUAACGAGGAUCCCUU